rnacentral:rRNA from 1 species
AACGAACGCUGGCGGCAGGCUUAACACAUGCAAGUCGAGCGCCCCGCAAGGGGAGCGGCAGACGGGUGAGUAACGCGUGGGAAUCUACCCAUCUCUACGGAAUAACGCAUGGAAACGUGUGCUAAUACCGUAUACGUCAUUCGGGAGAAAGAUUUAUCGGAGAUGGAUGAGCCCGCGUUGGAUUAGCUAGUUGGUGGGGUAAAGGCCUACCAAGGCGACGAUCCAUAACUGGUCUGAGAGGAUGAUCAGCCACACUGGGACUGAGACACGGCCCAGACACAUACGGGAAGCAGCAGUGGGGAAUAUUGGACAAUGGGCGCGAACCUGAUCCAGCCAUGCCGCGUGAGUGAUGAGGGCCCUAGGGUUGUAAAGCUCUUGCACCGGUGAAGAUGAUGACGGUAACCGGAGAAGAAGCCUCGGCUAAGUUCGUGCCAGCCGCUGCGGUAAAAC